CCCAGCCCUUCCCCCAGCCCCGAGGCCGCCGGAGGCCUGGCAUGCAUUGCUCAGACACUUCAUUCCUUCCUUCCUCCGGGCUCCCCACUGAGAUAAUGUUGUGAAUGGUUUCACCAGAUCUCCUCCCGGGUGAGAUUCGGCGGUUCCUGAGUCUGGGUGACCUUGGGCAAGCCCCUCUCUUUCGUAGUGGAGGGAGCACACGCUCUGUGCCAGACACCGUGUUAAACCCUGGGAUUAUACGGUGGCAACCCGCAAGGAGUUUACAGUCAACUUCGGAAACAGACCGACCCUGGUUUUCUGAGUGGGGACUCGAGCUUUUGUUCAUUGGAGAGACCAAGCCUGUUGCCAUGGAGUCAAUUCCUACUUAUGGCGACCUCAUGUGUUAGAGAGUAGAACUGUGUUCCAUAGGAUUUUCUUGCAGAUUACCAGGCCUGUCUUCUGUGGUGCUGCUAGGUAGAUUCAGACCACCAAUCUUUAGGUUAUUAGUGGACAACAAACCAUUUGCACCACUCAGGGACUUCUUGAGAGACCAGGAGAACCUAAAAGAAGCACCAAACCACACCUGUAUGAAUAACAAUAUUGUUGCUGUAUUUUGGGGGGAUACAGGCACGAAUACGAGUUAUUGACAGCUCUUGCCCUCAGGAAACCCACAGCCUGGCAGACGUAGUCGUGUACACACAUAUAUAUACGCGUAUAUAUAUAAACGCAUAUAAAGAGCCCUCGUGGCACAAAGGGUUAAACAUUUUGCACAGAGAAAGGUUGGUGGUUGGAACCCAGCCAGUGGCUUCUCAGGAGAAAGACUUGGUGAUCCGCUUCCAUAAAGAUCCCAGCCCAAAAAAGCCUGUGGAACAGUUCUACUCUGUCACAUGGGGAGGUUGCUCUGAGUGGAAGUUGACGCGAGGGCACCUAGCAACAACGUAUAAACGUAUAUUCAUGCAUGCAGCUGAUAUCUAUUGAUUUUCCAGGGUGUGCAUCUGGUAGAUCCGAGGUUCUAGAGAAUUAUAUGCUGAAAUAGAGGUAAAAUACUAUGAAGAUUCAGGAGAAUUAAAUUGGUCAUAACUUUGGAUAUCUUUGGAGCCCUGAUUGGGACGGUAGUUAAGAGCUCAGCUACUAACCAAAAGGUCAGCAAUUCGAAUCCACCAGCUGCUCCUUGGACACCCAAUGGGGCAGUUCUCCUCUGUCCUAUAGGGUCACUAUGAGAAUCAACUCGAAGACAGUGGGUUUCUUUUUUUUUUUGGCUGUCUUGGAAAACUUCCUGUAGGAGAUGGCCUUGCUUUACACCUUGGAAAACAGGUAGAUGUGGGAAAUGGAUAGGAUAGGAAAAUAAGUAGUGGUGAGUCAUAGGGUUGGGGAGGAUGGAAGUGCCAAUGGCAAUAAGGCCCAGACCCUGGAUUUGAGGUCUUUAUUCACGGAACAAGGACCUGGUGGCGCAGUGGUUAAGCUCUGAGCUGCUAACCAAAAGGCCGGCAGUUUUAACCUACCAGCUGCUCCACUGGAGAAAGAUGUGGCAGUCUGCUUCCAUGAAGAUUCUGGUCUUGGAAACCCUAUGGGGCAGUUCUACUCUCCUGUAUGGUAGCUAUGAUUCGGAAUCGACUUGAUGGCAGUGGGUUUGGUUUGGUUUUUGGUAUUCAGGGAAUGUGGUCUGGAGCCCGGGCUGUAUCAUAGGCAGGAGUAUAACAAGGGGCUGGAGGAGAAGGUUUGAGGCCAUGUCUCAGGACACUUACUCCUCACUAAAAGACUUUGGACCUUAUCUUUAAAUGAUGGAGAGCUGUCCUGAGCAGAGAAGGGGCAUCAGGAUUCUUGUUCAGAAGGAUGGCUCCAGCAGAAGUGUGGAGAGCGGAGUGCAGGGUUUGGAGGCAGGAAGGCCGUUUAGGAGUUGCCAGCAGUUCCUAAGAGGCAGAUGACUCUGAUCCGGAAGCACCUGCCUAGAACCAGCUCACCUGGGCGUUGACUGCAUUGCCCAGCGAUCCGAGGUCGGCAGAAACCUGCCUUCCCUUUAACAGCAGGUUUCCAGUUCCCCUACAACCCCAGCGUAUAAAUAAGGAAUCAUUGUGGCUCUGACUGUAUUUACCUUCCAGACCUCAUUUCCACCUUCCAGGAGAGCCCUCAAGUCUGCAGCCAAGUCUUUACCUCAUCACAGGCUUGGUUUACUCACUCUUGCCCCUUGGGCAACUCUCGGGGAUUUUUUGUUUUUUCUUCACACGCUGCAGAGUGGGUUGUGCCCUAUCAUGUUCUGAAGAAAUGAUGAACAAUGCCCCCUUUGUUGACCUGCAUCCUGGGGCCAUGGGGGUAGGACUUUUUCUUCCUGUUUUAAACAGAUGGAAAAGUGGCAGUGAAAACUCUCUGCUACAUUGGAAAAAAGUGGGAUUUUCCUGUGUGUUUGAGAUCCUCUCGGUGAAAGGUAAUUAGCCUGUGAAGCUACCCCGCUUUCUGCCGUUGCCCCAAUAAAUUUUGCAAGCUCCCUAAGAUGUUCCUACUCAAUGACUGACUUAAAAAAAUCAGCACAAAUGUACUGACCCAGAUUCUUCCAAGGAACUAAACCCUUCCCAGGGAAGCAUGCUAACCCUUUCCAGGUUCCCCCAAGUCCAGCAGAGCAAGUGACUUCUUCCCCUAAACUCUGCUAUGACAUUGACUGCUGUCUGCUGUUGGGCCCUCAUUUACUAGCCCCAUAUGCCACCCCCUGUUCCUUCUAGCUUAGGAGCCUUAUUCAUCACUGGCUGUGUCAUCGCCUUGGGGCUUGGCACCCUGAAGGUGCGUGGAGAAUGUUUGUUGAAUAUAGUCAAGUUGGGGUCUCACUAAAGCAGCCUGAUAGAUCAAAUAGUUAAUCAGCAACUUAUUUAUUGCCACCCUAGGUGUGCUUGGGCUGGAAAAAUGAGUAACUUUUUUUUUAAAUGUCCAUUAUAGAUAGAGGCACAGAGAGUUCAAGUAACCAAAAAAUACCCAUGAUUUGCAUCUGAGCCAGAAAAAAAAAAAAAAAAAACUUUACCAUCCUAGAAGAAGGUUUCUUGGGAAUGUGCCAAGAGAAUAUUGUUUAGUAUCUUUACACUGGGCAGUGAACGUAGGAUCAAGUGGACGCUCUCUCCGCGGAAUCUGAAAUGGAGAAGUAAGCCCAAGGAAAGACUUUGGGGUUUGGAAGACUGUUCUCAGAUGGAAGCAGUCUUUAUUUUUCAGUCAUCCUUCUCCUCCCAGACCCCCCCCAAAAAAAAAAAAUCGAACCCUUUUCAUCAUCGUGGGGGGUCACGUCUUUGAUCUUCCCUUGAGUACAGCAAACACGACAAACCUUUCUCACUGUAUCAUGCCCAGUAAAUACAGCCAGGGGCUCCUGUGUUUGCCUGCCUCCCCCAUGAAGGGUGAUUUUCCUUGUCUUAUUGCGUCACCUGUUCGCUUUUAAACCAUAAAACAAAUAACUGCAUCUCCAGUGAGAUUCCCUAUUGUCGCCUAGGUAUCUGAAUGAUUUGUGGGUUUGGUGUAAAGCUACAGAAAGGAGAGAGAGUGAGAGGAGAAGAAAACAAGGUAUUUUGCCUGAGGACUCGAAGCUUUUUUUUUUCCCCCUUUUCCUCCGCUUGACUGACUUUCUCACACUCAGAUUCCCCACAGCCUGCCAGAGACAUGGUCACUGCCCUGCCAAGAGCGAUCCUGGGAAGGCUAUUGAAAGCGCCUUGAGUGAGUACACCCAGGGCGGAUUUUCUCCUCCCCUCACUACCUGCUCCGCACCUGUACAGGGAGCAGUCCCACACAUAUCACCUGAUCGCAGCCCUUUCAGAGACCGUGAGAAAAAUAAAGGCCAAGAUAGAAGAGACGUGAUUGUCAGACUCCCCCGGGCUGCAGCCAGCUCCCGGCAGUCCCUGUGCCCAGAAACAGCACAUUCCAGGCUGAUGUCAAGCAUGUGGGGUGGGGGCACCGGGAAGGGGAGGGAAGCCAGUGUUCACCUUCAUAAUGACUGCCUUUCUGCCUCUGGUCUUUGGCAUCAGCCUGACGGUAGUUUUAUGAUCCUUUGCUAGAAUUGUUGCUACGGUCCUUCUAGAUAAGAGUAUUUGUGUGCUCAUCACAGUAGAAUUCUUAGCCAGGGUUUCUCACCUGUGGUUCAUGGAUGAACAUCCAAAAAAAAAAAAGUCCUUUGCCUUUGAGUCGAUUCUGACUUAUAGCAACCCUAUAGAACAGAGUAGAACUACCCCAUAGGGUUUCUAAGGAGCAGCUGGUACGUUCGAACUGCUGACCUUUUGGUUAGCAGCUGAGCUCUUAGCCAUUGUGCCACCAGGGCUCUGGAUGAACUUCCUGGGAGCCCAUUAAGAAAACCAAAUACAACCAAACCUGUUGCAUCCAGUUGUUUCUGACUCAUGCUGACCCCACGUGUUAUAGAACUGCUCCAUGGGGUUUUCUAGGCUGUAAUCUUUCCAGAAUUAGAUCACUAGGCCUUUCUUUUGUGGGGCUGUUGGGUGGGUUCGAACCACCAACCUUUUGGUUAGCAGUCUAACACAAACCGCUUGCACCACCCGGCCAGACUUUAAAGCCCCCGAAAUUGAAUUCAGAAUCGUGUGUAUGCAUGCUUAUUUAGUAGCAGCUGAAUAAGUGCUUUUCAAAUGAAUGAACGAAUGCAUUUUUUUCCCCUCUGAGGAUAGGGCCCAUAAUUUUCAGUAGAAUCUUAAAGCCAAAAAGGGUUAAGGAAAACUGAUCAGAAAAUUUCCUCUUACAAGUGGGUACUUUAAGCCCCAGAGAGGGGAAGGGACUUACUUGAGGGUCCACAGCGACGGAAGGCCAGAGCCAGGACCAGAAGCCAGCCUGGUGUGCUUUCUCCCAUACCACAGAGCUUUGGUUCCUGGGUGGAUUUAGGGCAAGGAUUACAGACUUGGAAGUGCCAUCAAAGCCUGGAUUUAAAUAGACAUGUUAAUAAAGAACUUAGAAUUUUUGCAACUUUUGUUUAUUUAUUUAAAUUCCAAGGCACUUGAGCUGCCCUGUGUCCAAUUUUUUUUUAUUGUGCCUUAGGUGAAAGUUUCCAGAGCAAAUUAGUUUCCCAUUCGAUAGUUUGUACAUAAAAUGCCCCAUGACAUUGGUUGUAUUCCCCACAAUGGGUCAGCACUCCACAUUUCUGCCCUGGGUUUCCCGUUUCCUUUCAUCUGGAUUUUCUACCCCUUCCUGCCUCUCUUCUUUGCUUUUGGGCAAAUGUUGUCCUUCUAAUCUCCUAUAAUUGAUUGUUUUAAGGAACAUGUUCCUUUCAGGGGUUAUGGUUUAUUUUAUGGACCUGUUUAUUGUUUGGCUGAAAGUGGUCUCCUGGAAUGGCUUCAGUUCCAGGUCAGAAGGGUGUCUUAGGGCCAGUCUUGGUUAUCUAGUGCUGCUAUGACAGAAAUACCACAAGUGGAUGGCUUUAACAGACAAAUUUAUUUUCUCACAGUUCAGGAGGCUAGAAGUCUAAAUUCACGGCACUAGCUCUAGGGGAAGGCUCGCUCUCUGUUGACUCUGGGAGAGGGUCCUUGUCUCCUUUCUGUAGGCCUGACAUUCCUUGGAGAUCCCCCUGUGUCUUGGCAUCAGUCUUCCCCUGGGUCUAGGAGGUUCUCAGCACAGGGACUCUGGGUCCAAAUGACAGUGCUCCGCUCCUGGCACUUCUUUCUUGGUGGUAGUAGGCCCUUCCCUCUGUGCUUGCUUCUCUCUCCUUGUAUCUCUUGUGAGAUAAAAGGUGAUGCAGGCCACACCCCAGGGAAACUCCCCUUAUAUGGAUCAGGGCUGUGACUUGAGUUAAGGGUAUUGCAUCCCACCCUAAUCCCCUUACAACUGAUUGGCUGGUCACACAGAUCACAUCAUAGGGGAUGAUUACAUAUUCACAUAACUGCCAAACCACUAAGAAUCAUGGCCCAGCCAAGUUGACACAUAUUGUGAGGGGACACAAGUCAAACCACGACAGGGCCAUAGUCUUGGGGGUUCUUCCAGUCUCUGUCAGACCAGUAAGUCUGGUCUUUUAGUGAUUUUGAUUUUUUUGUUCAUUUUUCUCCCUCUCUGUCCUGGACUCUGUGUUGUGAUCCUAGUCAGAGCAGUCAGUAGUGGUAGCUGGGCACCGUCUAGUUCUUCUGGUCUCGGGGUUGUGUAGGCUGUGGUUCAUGUGGUCCGUUUGUCCUUUGGGCUAAUUGCUCCCUUAAGUCUUUGGUUUUCUUCACUCUCCUUUGCUCCAGAUAGGAAGAGACCGGUAGUUGUAUCUUAGAUGGCGGCUCGCAAGCUUUUAAGACCCCAGAAGCUACUCACCAAAGUAGGAUGCAGAACAUUGUCUUUAUGAACUGUGUCGUGCCAGUUGACAUAGAUGUCCCCUGUGUCUAUAGUCCUUAACCUUCAAGCCAAGGAACUUUGUCCCAGGAGGUAUUUGGUUAUGUCCAAGAAGUUUCCAUGACUAUGCCCCUUCUGUGCUCUAUUGUCCAUAUUAAUAUACAUGGAGCAUCUACAAGUAUGUAUGUAGAAAUAUCUACCACCAAACCUGUAUCUGCAGGUGGGCGUACUCCCUUAUACCCUCCCACACCUCUUUAGCAUACCCAUCUAUGUAUCCAUUUGUAAAUUAUUAUUUGUUAAUACAAUUAUUGCAGGGCCGUCUAUGUUAUUACCGUAGUUCUCAGUGUCUUCCUUUGCCUUGGUUAUGUUGUGCUGACUUCCCCCUUAUUGUGUAUUAUCUUUCCCCUCACCAAUAUUAACAGGCGUUCUAUCUAGUUAGUAAUUUUCCCUCCCUCUCCCUCCCAUCCCUGGAAAACCAUCAAAGAAUUUUUUUUUUUCUGUGUGUAAACCUGUCCUUGUAUUUUUACAAUAUUGGUCUCAUAUAAAAUUUGGCCUUUUAUGAUUGACUUAUUUCACUCAGCAUGAUGUCCUCCAGAUUUAUCCAUGCUGUGAGAUGUUUUGCAGAUUUGUCGUUAUUCUUUAUUGUUGCAUAGUAUUCCGUUGUGUGUUUAUGUCACAGUGUGUUUAUCCAAUCAUCCUUUGAUGAGCACUUAGGUUGUUUCCAUCUUUUUGCUGUUAUGAAUAGUGAUGCAGUGAACAUGGGUGUGCAUAUGUUUAUUCAUCUGCACUCAGCUUUUAGAUGGAGAAGGAGCUAGGCAAGAAGGCAGAGUGCCUACCUGGAGAAGAGGAUCCAGGGAUGCUUGGAGCCAGAGCCCAGGUUGCCAUGCAGUGACAUUAGAAACAGCUGCAAUUCUGAAUUCUGUACUUGAUAAAAGAAGGUGCUGCUAAUGAAUAAAGUGUCUAGUGGGUUCUGGAACAAGCUAGGACCUUGAACUGAAAACUGAGAAUGAAGGUGGAAAACAGAAGCUUUCAGCAUCGGCUAAUAACUAGUCUGUAACGCUUUCCGCCACAUCCCUCCUUCAGGCUCCCCCGCCCUUUGGAACACUUGACUGGAGCCAGUGACACCAAGGGAAUGUGCGCUUUUCUAAUGGGCUCUGAAAGAGGACCUUUGCCAAGAAAGCCUUUCCCUGUGGGGUGGGGGUGGGGCGCCCUGGAAUGGCCUAACUCAACAUUUGGCUGGCGGUGGGAGGGCUAUAAACGUGCUUUUUGCUAACCUCGGAGCAGGCGGCAGUGGGGCAAGCUGACAAGCCCCAGGACGAAGGAGGCCAUUCCUGGGCCAUCACAGGGCUGCAGCUUGUGCCCUUGUCCUGGGAAGCCUCAGAGCUGCGCUGGGGCCGGAGCAUGUCGGGGCAGGCCCAGCGGCCUCAGGAAGACUCAGGAGUGUGGGGCAGAGCCUAGCCCCUUCAAAUCCAGGGCAUAUGUUUGUUUGGCUUGCUACUGGCUGCUCAAAUUGUGACAUCAGACCAAGUUUCUCCAAAAAUUAAAAAAAAAAAAACAAAUCUCAGCUAGUCAGAAAAAAAUAUUUGGAUAAAACUUAGGGAUGUGAGAUGAACGUAUACCACAUUUGUGUGUGUGGUGAGAAUAUACACACCAAAACAUUUGCCGGCACAGUAACUUCCACAUUUACAAUACUGUGACGUUGAUUCCGUUUUUCAUGCCGUGCCACCAUUAUCAGGAGCCCUGGCAGGGCAGUAGUUAAAAGCACUCUGCUGCUAGCUGAAAGGUCAGCAGUUCGAGCCCACCAGCCCACGGGAGAGAUCAGGGGCCACACGGAGGGGGCAGCCUGCCUCUCAGUCAACCAAAGCAAACCAAGUGCAUGUCGUGCUUUAUUUCUUAUAAUUGUUGACCUGUUUCCCUUAUUUCUGCUGUAAAUGGAAGGUGGGGGCAGAAAAUUAUUCCAGUUCAUAAACCUGUGCCCCAUCAGUACUAGGCUUUCAUCUCAGGACCGGAGAAGGCUGGCCAUGAGGAAUACAGGGGAGGCACUGGAGCAUGAAGACAUCAAACUGCUGGCAGACUUCACAUGUAGGAGAUGGAGAGGUGAGAAAGAGUAGAGCUGCUCCAUGGAGUUUUCAACGCUGUGACGUUUUGGAAGCAGAUCUCCAGGCCCUUCUUCAGAGGCACCUCUGGGGAAUCUCCUUUCUUUUGCUGUUUCAACCUGUCUUUCCUGAGGAAACCACUGGUAUCAAGAGGUAAAAAGACACACGUGGAGUUCUGAGGCUCGCUGGGAUGAAUUGUUUCUGUCCCCCGCUGCUCAGCCACCUGCUUGUGGGAGGAGUAACAUUUUCCUUUGAGGCUCCUUUUGUCGGACCUGCUGUGGCUCUGGCUCAAGUUGCCAGGUAAUCCUUCGCCUAGGAGAGAAAAUCUCCACCAGAUCCCAACAGUUGUACUUAGUUUUCAAUAAAGAAGAAACCGAAAAGGACAGCAAAGGGGCAGGGUUUGCACAACACUACAUGUAAUUCGCUGAGAUGCUUGGUGAGCAGCCACAGGUGAAGGAAGUCACAGCAGAGGAUUGGGGUUCGCUUGCCAUUCAUGGAUUCUUUCAACAGAAAUCUGUCACAUGCCUUCAUCGUCCCUGUGUGAGUUGCCGUGUUAUUUGGGUGAAUAAGAUAGACACUGCCCCUACCUUCCUGGCAUAUAUGAUCUGAAAGCGAAGAGAGACAGGGAAACAAAAUUGCAAGGAAAUGUGGUGAGACUCACAGUUGUUUUCUGUGGUUCCUUGGUGCCCAUGGGGAUGGCAACUAGCCUAGGGCUGGAUGGCCCCUUGGUUGGUACUCAAGAUAUCCUUGUCCUGAGUUCACUUAGUCCUUCCUUUGAGAACAUUUGCUGAGCCCCUAAUAUGUGUCAUGUUGAAUGAAUAUGUCCCAGACUCUGCUAAGCUUGGCAGCAGAUGUAAAAAAAAAAAAAAGGAGUGAAAUGUAAAAUCUUGUCCAAGGGCUCAAAGUCAAGUGAGGGAGUUAGACAAGUAAACAAAUGAGCUCAAGGCUGGGGUAAUGAGUCUGGUGUACAGCAGUGGUCUGUACAAGGCCAUAGAAGACUGUGGGGGGCAGAGGGUGCAGGAGGGGUUGUUUUUGCCAGAGGAAGGAGAAAGGCAGGGUGGUCAGGACAGGUUGAGGAAGUAGAGUGUCAGCUGGACCUCAAAGCGUACGCAUGACUUUUUAAUUCUUUUGGUAUUUCCCAGUUAAGAAGUUCAAUGAUACCUAUUUCAUUCAGUCACUCAGUAGCUAUGUACUGAGUUCGUAUGAUGUCCUUGGAUGGCAUAAAUGAUUAAGUGCUCGGCUAUUAACCGAAAGGUUGGCCUUUUGAACCCACUCAGAGUCUCCUCUGGAGAAAGACCUGGUAAUCUACUUCCAACAGAUCACCACCAUUGAAAACCUUACAGAGCACAGCUCUGCUCUGAUCUACGUGGGGUUGCCAUGAGUUGAACCUACUCCAUGGUAACUGGUUAUUUGGUUCGUGAUGUCCCUAGUGAACCAGGUAGGCGAAUCGUUGGAUCAAACAAUCCACCUAACAACUCUCCUGACAGAUGACAAGCUAGUCAAGCGUUGGGGGUAAAGAGAAGAAUCUGCCUCUUGCCUUCAGAGGGCCUACAGUUAAACUGAGCUGGCCAAAUGUGUCAAGAUGCUUCCAAAGCUCCUCGUUUAGAAAUUUGUGAGUUCUGCCCUCUGGCAACUUUGAGUUUCCCUUCUGAGUGAAAGUGAGACACCAGCUCACCUGGCUGAUGUGGUAGAUGACGACUCUUACCUUUCGUAACAGAAUGUUAGCUCUAUUGUCUGCCAGGCUGGUAUCUAAAGUAUGAGGGUCCAUGGACAGGUAAAGUGUAUUUUUUAAAUGAUAAAGUUCGUUUAAUUUUAUUUCCAAUUAUAAAUGAAUAUAUGUUAUUGAAAACAACAGAGAAAUACAGAAAAGGUGAAAAAAAAAGAGAACCGCUCUCAUUAUUUGGUAUUUUCCUUCCUUUCUUUCAUGUUUUUAUAUGCUUAAUGAUCAUUCUAUAUAUGCAAUUUUAUAAUCUGAUUUUUUCAUUUAACAUUAUAGCUACAGAAACUCUUCAUCAACUUUUUUCAAUUGACCGCAUAUUUUUUUGUUAUUUACAUACCACGAUUUACUAGAUAUAUUUAAGCAUAGAGAUAGCUGUUAUUGAGUCAAUUCUAACUCAUGGCGACCUUAUGUACAAUGGAAUGAAACAUUGUCUGCUCCUGUGUUAUCCUUGUGAUCACCGGCAUGUGCCGAUCCAUCUCACCAGGGGUCUCCUUCGCCUUCACUAGCUCUCAGACAUGACGUCCUCCAACAAGUGAAUGAACUGAUGAUGCGUCCCAAGCAAGCCAAUUGGACAGUGCUCCAUUGUGAUCCAUAACGUUUUCCUUGGCCAACUUUCAGAAGCAGAUCUCCAAGCCUCUCUUCCUGGGGUGACUAAGAACAGACUCAAGGAUCACUAGCCAAGUGCACAUCAGAGUAUCAGUUUUAUUGAUGCCGAGGCAAGCUUCCAAACUGCAGGGCUAUCUUUUAACUCUUGCAUUGGGGAAUGUGUUUGGGACCUGUGUGUUCUGCCAAGCCGACUUUGAGACUACUUAUUCAAGCUACUGCAAGCAGGUUCAUCUCUAGAAGACCAAUGGGGUAGAAAGAGCAGGACGAUGGUGACUGUCCCCUGUGGGUGGUUGUGGCGGGUGGCAGUGAGACGUGCUUCCAAGCCCAGGUGGCUUACCACAGAAGUACAGGAAACCUGUGCCGCUCUGAUGAGACCCAGAGAGCAGAAGGCAAUGGCCGCAUUACCAUGCCCUUUAACUUGUUGGCCACCUCCUGGUAAAUGUGGCCCUCAUCCAUCUAAUUAGCUACUCUUCUUCCCCAGGGGCAGAGCAAUGGGAAAGUGCCAUUCCAACCUUCCUCUUUGUGUUCUGGGGAGUGCAAGUUCUCCCUCUGUACAAAUGUGAGGAAGGGAAAACCAGGAUGAUGCCCCAAGGGUGCUCAACUGUGUAACCAGCUUAACACAGACUUCUAACAUCAUUGUUUCUUUCCUUCCUUGGCGAUUUUUCUUAUUUUCCCCUCAAUUUUUAUCUUGAGCUUUGCUAUUAUGUGUGCAUUCAUUUUGAAAUGGUAAGCAUCCUUAAGUUUUUUUGAUUACAUAAAAUACGAAUAAAUGAUAAGUGUGGAGUCCUAAGGCUACUACAUACAAGAUGCAGUGAACAAAGCAAGACACUUUAUGGGCAAGGCCUAAAAUCUGGCAUCAGGGAGGACUUGAGUUACCCAGCAAGGUUGAGUUGGGCUUGACUGGAUGUUGGACAUGGAGGAAGACAAAGUAGAAUGAGUCCUGAGAUCAAAGGCAGCACUGGAGGAGGACACGAUCGUGACUAGAUAUGAACAGCUGUCAUUCAUUUAGCCCUUUGCAGGUUGUGAAGUACUUUAACAUCCUUAUACCACUUAAUCCUCACAGUGACCCUGGGAAGUGGAUAUUAUUUUCACUCCCAUUUAUUGAUGAGGAACUAGGCUCAGAGAGUCAAAUGGUAGGUCUAGGACUCUUGCCUGGAUCUCCUGGCUCCAAAUGUCAUGCUUCAUCCAUGUGCCCUGGCCUACAUUGUCCGAGCCCAGUGAGGAGGCUAAAAUAGAGGGGGUGCUCUGAGAUCAUGGAGAAUAUAUGGGGUUGAGUUAAGGCCAGGCCAGACUCAGGUUGCCCCCCAAGAGGCAGGCAGUGCAGAUUUUGUGCAGAAGGAAAGGGGGAGCCAUUGAAGGCUUUUGAGCAGGAGUGUGACAUGACAAAAGUAGUAAGUGAGAUCCACCAGUCUGAUAGGUACGUAUGCACAGAGGGCUGGGAGGUGGAGAAAGGAGGGCCCUGAGUAGGACCACCAGUAAGGGGGCUUCCAGAGGAGCCUGGGUCUCCAGACUAUCUUGUUAGUAUCCAGGAUAUUGUUGGCUUCUUUCCUGGGAUUCAUUGCUGUGCCAAGGACCUGGAAUAUUCUGUCCUUUUCUCUAACUUUUUUAACAGGCCAGUAUUUCUGAAAUUUGGUCCAUGCUAUUUUCAGCGUUUCUACUCUACCUGUAUCCCAGGGUGCUUCCCUGGCCCACUGUCUAAGCAAACCAACCAAAACCCCUUUAGGACAGAGUAGAACUGCCCCCAUAGGGUUUCCAGGGAAAAGCUGGUGGAUUCCAAGUGUUGACCUUUUGGUUAGCAGUUGAGCUCUUAACCUCUGCACCACCAGGGCUCCUGUAUAAGCUAAGUUGUGAUUAAAACAAUGAAGUAACAUACUUAGAGUUGGAGCAAACAUGGACUUGAUUUUUCUUAUAUGUAAUGAAUAUUUACUGAGAACCAA